GCCUACGGGGGGCAGCAGUGAGGAAUAUUGGUCAAUGGUCGGGAGACUGAACCAGCCAAGCCGCGUGAGGGAUGAAGGUACAGAGUAUCGUAAACCUCUUUUGUCAGGGAACAAAGGCGGGGACGUGUCCCCGGAUGAGUGUACCUGAAGAAAAAGCAUCGGCUAACUCCGUGCCCGCAGCCGCGGUAAUACGGAGGAUGCGAGCGUUAUCCGGAUUUAUUGGGUUUAAAGGGUGCGCAGGCGGUCUGUUAAGUCAGCGGUCAAAGCCCGGGGCUCAACCCCGGCCCGCCGUUGGAACUUGCAGG
rnacentral:rRNA from 1 species